rnacentral:tRNA from 1 species
AUCUUUCUAGUAUAGAGCUAGUAUAUGUGACUUCCAAUCACCUGGCCCUGGUUGAACUCCAGGGAAAGAUA